GGGACAAAUUAGACUAUUUCAUAGUGUUUGACCCAGGUCUUCAUAGGAAUUUCCAAGUAGUGGCUACAAUUUCUAGUCAGCAUUGAGAGUUGAAUUAACUUUAGUUGCCCUGAAGUGCACCAUGUAGCCACACUGCCUAGCUAGUUGGGCUAGGGUUAAAUUAACUCUGUUGCGGUUUGCUGUAAAAUGCCUUGUAGAAUAGAGUAUUUAGGGGGUUUGGAAUCAUGGUUGAAGUCUUCUGUGUUACCUUGCUAGGAAUUAGCUUGAGUCACUAAGAGUACUGUCUUGUUCAGUCCAACAACUUGACAGAUACAUAAUGUCCCAUUUACAUGUAAGAAAGUUAAGUAGUUUAUGAAUACCUUUUUUUGGGGGGGAGGUGAAUCUACAUACUUCUGGCAUCAGCUGAAAGUGAACAUAGGUAGAAAAUGGUGAAGCACAGUUCUCCCAGUGGGAAGAAUUUAAAAGGUAGGAUCUGUUUUGCAAAAAUGAUUUGAGGUGAAGCUUUAUACUGAUUCUUAGGCACUGGCUAAUGGUUUGGCCAACAAACAGGUCAGAAUUUCAAGAACAAGAAGGAAAAACAAGGCUAAUUCAAGGUUCUAAAUAGAACUAUGGACAUUGCUCUCAUUGAUGAACUAAUUCAUUCUGAGAACAUCAGCUAUUUUCCCCAGCCACCAACUUGUUGCUUGUUCAAAAAGCCCAUGAACAAAACAGUCAUGAUAGCAAGAAAUGGAACCUGUGUAUGAGCUCUAAAACAUGGACCUCUCCUCACAAAGGCAGAGCUGCUAUACCAUUCACAAAGGGUACCAUCUAGCCAAGUUAUUACUUUGGACAUCUCCCAUCAUUGCAAAGAGCAACAGUAUGUUAAGGACAGGCAUUGAGCUGGGCAGGUAGCUCAGCGGGAUAGUACCUGCUUAGCAUGUGCAAGGUCCAAGGUUCAAUCAGCACUACCUACCCACUGAAGUAAAUAAUCUGUGUAUGAGCUGUACACGUAUGGAUUUGUCUUUCAUACAUACAAUAUAUCUGCAGGUGCUUUAUCUGUCAUUGUGGUAUCCUUUGCAGUAUAGUCUGACAGUAUGGAAUAAAGAAAGUCAUUUGGUUACAAGAGACAGCAUGCUUUAAGAUAUUGGCUUGCUCUGAAAACUUGGGUAUACACUACCUGGAGUAAAUUUACUGAGCAUAAGGUAACUGUCCUACAAAAUGUCUGUAAUUCAGUUUAUCAGUAUAUGGUGCCAUCUUCCCAAUAGCCAGGAUGGAUGUAUAAAGAAAUAAGAUGGGAUAUGAGACUGAGGAUUAGGCCAGUUGUCUCUCUGAAGGCAUUUUUUGUUUUCUAUUUAGCUUGCAACCUUGAAUUUAAUGAGCUCAGAGGUUCUGGUACUUACUGCCUAUUUUUUUCUUAGGACCGUAUUUUUGACUGGAUUUAAAAAGUCAAUAUGUUGAUUAUUUUGGGCUUUGUAUACCACUGAACAGGCAGGAAAGGUGGUCUUCUAACAUUGUCUUUUGGCAGGGGGUAGGGAGGGUACUAGGGAUUGAACUCUGGGGCACUAGACCACUGACAUCCCCAGCCCUAUUUUGUAUUUUAUUUAGAGACAGGGUCUCACUGGAUUGCUUAGCACCUUGCUUUUUGCUGCGACUGGCUUUGAACAUUUGCUGGGAUUAUAGGAAUGUGCCACCACACCCAGCUAGAUUUUCUUUACAACAGUUUUGUGGUAGAUUUCUAGGAGAUUUCUCUCCUAUAUAUGAUCUAUAAGGAUGGACUCCCUUGUCCUUGCAUUCUAGGUAGGUUCAAAAAGUGGGAAGUACCAGCAGAAUAUCCAAAAGUGGAGUCAUAAUUAUUUUUCCUGCUUCUCCUUGCUUUAAAGCGACUUCUAGGUUGGAUAUAGCUCAGUUGGUACAGUGCUUGCCUCACAUACACAAGGCUUGGGUUCAAUCCCUAGUACCACCCCCCCCCAAAAAAAAAAAAAUUUCUAUUAAAGGCCAUAAUUCCCAUUAGGUGGUCUUUGCUCUAUUACAACAACUACUGAGAUUUAUUCCUUUAGGCCUCAGUGUGUU
rnacentral:lncRNA from 1 species